rnacentral:tRNA from 1 species
GGGAUCUUAGCUCAGCUGGGAGAGCACCUGCCUUACAAGCAGGGUGUCGCAGGUUCGAGCCCUGCAGGUCCCA